AGACUAUGAUGAUAUAUAAAAUUUCUGACACCUCGUAUGAGUAUUGCUUGAGCAGUACCUGAUUUCUCUUUGUAUCUGAAGUUCUU